UGUGGCUGUAUUUUAAGUGGGCAGAGAGAAAAAGAGCCAGGAUUUCCUUCCGUACAGUAGAGUCACAGCUCUGGACCCUCCACUCGUCUUUCUGAAAAACUUUUCGAGACCCUCCUCAGACCUUCGAGAUUGCCACGUUUGAAACUGCAUGGGAAAUCUUGUGGCCGAAAUGAGGAAAACAUCAAUGUUCAAAGGACGCCUCUGUUGCUUUUCAUGGCUUAUGCCUUUCUGCGGUCAUCCUCUCUUGAAGGCACGCAAACUGCCAUGAGGGAUCUUCUCUUCCACCCACUGACCUCAAAAAAUCCACCGACCGGAGCAAGAUGCCGGCUGACAAUUCUUCUGAAAAUUGUUCUGAUCCUUCCAUGGGUUUCCAGGCCUCCUUAUAUGCAGCGACUUACGUGAUUAUAUUCAUCCCUGGCUUGGUGGGCAACAGCCUUGCACUGUGGGUUUUGUGUUGCUUUAUCAAGAGGGAGAGCAAAGCCGUCGUUUUCAUGAUGAAUUUGGCCGUGGCUGAUCUGGCUCACGUCCUCUCCUUGCCUUUGAGGAUGUACUACUAUAUCAACCACAGGUGGCCCUUUGGGAGUUUCCUCUGUCAAUUCUGCUUCUACCUGAAGUACCUCAACAUGUACGCCAGCAUCUGCUUCCUCACCUGCAUCAGCAUCCAGAGGUAUCUCUUCCUCCUUCAUCCCUUCCGAACCAAAAGUUGGAACUGCAGACACGAUGUCGCCGUAAGUGCCGUCAUCUGGAUCGCGGUGGGGGCUGCUUGCUUGCCCCUCCCAAUCCUGAGAAGUCCUAGCUUAACCAACAACGACAAUACCUGCUUUGCCGACCUCGGAGUAAAACAGCUAACGCGGGGAGCCUCCAUAACGCUGAUGGCGGUAGCUGAGCUCUCUGGAUUUCUGCUCCCUCUUGCAAUCAUCAUUUACUGCACGUGGAAGAUGCGACAAUCCCUGCAGGAUCCUCACGCUCCAUUGCAACAGGCCGACGAGAGGCGGAAAGCUUGGCGUCUGAUCUUGGGCUGCGCGGCUGUCUUCUUCAUCUGCUUCACCCCCUACCAUGUCAACCUCCCGAUCUUUAUGAUGGUCAAACAAGGUGUCUUCGGAAGCUGCUCAGUCCGUCACCAAGUCCUGAAUUUCCACACCAUUUCUCUGUGCCUUGCGAGCCUGAAUUGCUGCUUGGAUCCAAUUCUCUACUAUUUCAUGACGUCAGAAUUUCAGCAAAGGCUGUUCCGACACAGCAGGGCAGCCUUCUUGCACCGGUUCAUCCAUUUAGACAACAGCAGGACUGCGGUUUUCGCUGCCAAGGAGGAAGAGGAGGAGGGUGGGAAGCGAAGCGAGAAUGUUUUAAUGGCCUAUUUUCGACCUUUUCGGCCUCAAAGACUUGAAAAUGAUAGCAUGGAGCCCUCUUUGUCUCCUCAGUAGCUAAUAAACGAUGCAUAGAGGUCCAGAUCAGAUGAGCUCCCAUCGUUUGAUUCCUCGAGUCUUGAUGAUUCUCAGCUGGAGAUCUCAGACUUGGAUCUGCUGAAAAAUGAUUGUAUUUGGUUUUGUUGAUGGGUGAGAUGUAGGUUCUACUCAGGAUGAUUCACAGCAGACGGUUCCAUGCGGCCACCGCUUGAAGGAACAACCAAUGAAUUAAGUUUUGGAACCAACCUUUGUUUCUUGAUGUAGGAACCUAGUUGAUGAUGUGUGUGCUGCAGCCACAGAUUAUGUGAGACCCCAGGGCUUGGCUUUGCAACAAAUCUUAAAAAUGAAUCCGGAGGGUCAGAGAAACUGUGAGGUCCUCCAGGGGAAGCCAUAAGCACAUUGGGGCCCACACAGUGCUGGGAUUCAAAAUGUUUUAUUACCGGUUCUGUGGUUGUGGCUUGGUGGGCGUGGCUUGGUGGGCAUGGCAGGGGAAGAAUAUUGUAAAAUCUCCAUUCCCACCCCACUCCAGGGGAAGGUUCCUGCAAAAUAGAGCAACAAAGAUGAUUAGGGGACUAGAGGCUAAAACAUAUGAAGAACAGUUGCAGGAACUGGGUAUGUCUAGUUUGAUGAAAAGAAGGACUAGGGGAGACAUGAUAGCAGUGUUCCAAUAUCUCAGGGGUUGCCACAAAGAAGAGGGAGUCAAGCUAUUCUCCAAAGCACCUGAGGGUAGAACAAGAAGCAAUGGGUGGAAACUAAUCAAGGAGAGAAGCGACUUAGAACUAAAGAGAAAUUUCCUGACAGUUAGAACAAUUAAUAAGUGGAACAACUUGCCUGCAGAAGUUGUGAAUGCUCCAACACUGGAAAUUUUGAAGAAAAUGUUGGCUAGCCAUUUGUCUGAAAUGGUGUAGGGUUUCCUGCCUGGGCAGGGGGUUGGACUAGAAGACCUCCAAGGUCCUUUCCAACUCUGUUGUUAUGUUAUGUUAUGUUAUGUUAUGUUAUGUUAUGUUAUGUUAUGUUAUGUUAUGUUAUGUUAUGUUAUGUUAUGUUAUGUUAUGUUAUGUUAUGUUAUGUUAUGUUAUGUUAUGUUAUGUUAUGUUAUGUUAUGUUAUGUUAUGUUAUGUUAUGUUAUGUUAUGUUAUGUUAAAAUCCCCAUUUCCUCCUGAUCAGCUGGGACUUGGAAGGCAGAGAAGAGAUGGGAGAGGGGUCAGUCAGAGGUGAUUUUUACCAGUCCUCCGAACUACUCAAAAUUUCUGCUGCCGGUUCUCCAGAACUGGUCAGAACCUGCUGAAACCCACCUUUGGGUUCACAGAUAUCCCAAGAACAAUGUCAAUUUCUUUGAACCUCAAGUAAAGAUUACCAGAUUAGAUGUGGGUGGGUGAAUGUGUUUUACUGGGCAAAUGCAUUAAGAACAGAAAAGAAUAACAUCCUAUAAUACAGAUAGAGUUUAAGAAAUAGGCUCGGUCAAAUUGCUUACAUGAAUUUCAUGGUUACAGAUCCAUCAGACAGAUAAGCGAGAUCAAAGUAGAAGGGUGCUAAUUUGCAUCACUUGUCAAAAUUUGUGGUGCAGUUUGUAACUUGAAAAAAACACACACCAUAAACUGGGGAAAUGCAUACAGAUAUGCCAAGAUAAGGAGGUGGGUGGGGGGAGGAAGCUUAUGAAGCAGAAAAACUUAUCCACACCCUCCAGAGGCAUUCAAGCCUACAGUUAUAUACCUUCAGAAAAAGAUACACAGAAGGCAUAGAACAGCAGUGCAAACUUUUUCUGAAAAUCUAUAAAUGGUCAUUGUGAUGAGGAAUUUAGGGAACGUGAAAUGGGCCACUCUGCUUUUUACCACCAUGGCUAGCAAAAAGACAAAAAAAAAUCACAAUAGAAUAGAAUAGAAUAGAAUAGAAUAGAAUAGAAUAGAAUAGAAUAGAAUAGAAUAGAAUAGAAUAGAAUAGACAGAGUUGGGAGGGACCCUGGAGGUCUUCUAGUCCAACCCCCUGCUUUGGCAGGGAACCCUACCCCUAACGCUUCAGACAAAUGGUUAUCCAAUCUCUUCUUAAAAACAUCCAGUGUUGGAGCCUUUGCCACUAUAAAUGUUCUAACCCAGGGGUCUCCAACCUUGGCAACUUUAAGAUUUGUGGACUUCAACUCCCAAAGUUCCUCAUCCAGCAAAGCUUUGGUUUCUCAUCCAGCAAAGCUUCACCAAGGUUGGAGACCCCUGUUCUGGGGAAUCAACGCAGAAAGAAAUACAGAACCUAAACUAAAUGUCUACGGAGAUCCUCAGUCAUUGAGAUCCUAGUUGUCUCAAAGGGGCUUUUUUCUUCAAAAAAGCAAGCAGACUCGUUUUUGUUUUGUUUUUUCCUUGAGGAAGAAAGUGGGGGAAAGUCCACAUUUUGGACAGAGAGGACCAUGGAUUUGAAAGAGGGGUAAAAGAAUCCAUCUACGUUAUAAUUGAACACCCCCUCCCUCAACAGAAGGGGAGGAAUAAGGCAGCAUCCAUCUCCAGACUACAACGCAACCCUUGUAGCAGUUCCAAGAAGAUUUCAGAACCAACUGCAUCUUGGUUCAGGUGACUAGUGGCAAGUGGAAAAUCAUCGGGGAUUCGGAUUACAUUCUUGGAAAAAGAAAUAAAAAAACCAGAAAGGAGUUACAGGAAAACCAGAUGCCAGGGGAAAAACAAAACGAAAAGGACGGACUAAGUCAAAAUUGCCAAUGGAUAAAUCCAGCCAUUCCAGUCUGCUACUCCGCAGAUCUGUUAAGACAGGGGUCUCAAACCCCUGGGCCAGGGAGUGGCACCAGUCCGCAGCCUGCCAGGAACCGAGCCAUGCAAAAAAAGCCAACGCCAUCUGCCCAUGUACAGAAUAGAAUAGAAUUUUAUUGGCCAAGUCUGAUUGGACACACAAGAAUGCAGGCAAUGUACAAAAACACGCCUCCCCUUCCAUUUUAGGGAAGAAAAUACCCGCCAGGGCAGGGGUCUCCAACCUUGGUCCCUUUAAGACUGGCGGACUUCAACUCCCAGAGUCCCUCAGCCAGCAAAGCUGGCUGAGGAACUCUGGGAGUUGAAGUCCGCCAGUCUUAAAGGGACCAAGGUUGGAGACCCCUGCUCCAGGGAACCAGAGGUGUGAUUCACUUACCUUCCCUACGAGUUUGCAAAUGUGAGCACACGCACCUCCUCUGCGCAUCCACCCGGCCUUCCGCGCAUGCUCAGUGCCUCACACAUUAUGUCUGGGCAGGUGGGCGGAGCCUCCCCCAGUCACCGCUACCGGUUUUCUCAAACCGGACAGAGCCGGUUGAAUCCCAUCACUGCGACCAGUCCCUAGCACUCAAAAGAUUGGGGACCACUGUGUUAGGACUACAUUUUUUCCAAGUUUGGAGAAAAGUGAUCCCUAAGUAUGGAUUUAGAUCAAAAUUGGUAGUAUUCGGGAGAUUAUUUAACCUACGGUUAAAACUGAAUGAUAGCCAGUUUGGUGUAUUGGUGAAGGCACCAGGCUUGAAACCAAGAGACGAUGAGUUCUAGUCAGGGGUGAAAUGUAAAAUUUGUUACUAUGAGUUCUGUGGGCGUGGCUUGGGGGGGUAAUGUG